rnacentral:rRNA from 1 species
UACGUAGGUGGCGAGCGUUGUCCGGAUUUACUGGGCGUAAAGAGCGCGCAGGCGGUCGAUUUAGUCGUGUGUGAAAGCCCCCGGCUCAACUGGGGAGGGUCACGCGAUACUGAUCGACUCGAAGGCAGGAGAGGGUAGUGGAAUUCCCGGUGUAGUGGUGAAAUGCGUAGAUAUCGGGAGGAACACCAGUGGCGAAGGCGACUACCUGGCCUGUUCUUGACGCUGAGGCGCGAAAGCCAGGGGAGCAAACGGG